rnacentral:lncRNA from 10 species
AGGAAACGCAGUGCCCCUGCGACUCCACACUCACCACCCCCUCACACUCCUUGUGGCCCUCCCCCUGCGCUAAUCUCCUGCUACUCCGAGUCCACCAAAUCCUAGGAGCAGCAAGGCUCUCUCCUGAGAAGCGAUCCCCUUCCAGAAGAUCGCAGCUGGGUGGAGGUGAAGGUCAAGCACAGAGCCCUCCUGGCAUAUCCAGUGCUCUCUCCGUUAUGAGGAGGGGUAAGGAGUGAGGAUGGUGUUUCCGGGAAAGCAGAGGUGAGGCCCGCUGGACUCCAGGCAGCUCUCUGCUCUCCUUGCCUUUUGCCUCAGCUCCCCGCCUCUCACAGCGAGCCUCCGGAGAUUGGGAAGCGGCGUUUCCUCACCUGCCAGUGCUCCUGUACUCCAGCUCCGCAGACCCCACUCCAGCCUCGCGCCUUGCAUCACACACAUCAGAGCAGCAUCUCUCAGGCCAAGCCCUUCCACAUUUCUGCUGCGCUCCUGGCAUGUGGCUAACCCCGCAUGGCUUCCUACAUUUAGUCAUGGAUACCGGAGAUGGGAAGGGCUUUAAAUGCCAGUUGGUCAAGGCUCAUUUCACAUAUGAGGGAAAUGAGAUCCAGAGAAGCUGAACAACUUACCUGAGAUCACACAGUUUGCACUGUAGAAUUGGAUAAGAACCCCGCUCUUCAGCUCUCAGCCAGCAUCCUCGUGCUGUGUGAAGUGAUGGGUAUAUUGGCCAUAGCUCGGGAUGUGCUACACCUGGUGCAUGUGCUUAUCCUUUUAUAAGCUGUGCUCUGUGAGCAUUGCUGUAGGAGGCAGGGUGGAGACAUGGGAGAGGGCAGUGCUCAGAGGUUCUGAGUUCUAGUCCUGCUGGCACCAACUGGCUGUGAUCCUGGGCAAGGCCCACUGCCUCUUUGGGGCCUGUUUUUCUUGUUUUAAAGUAAAAAGUUUGGACUGCAAGGCCUCUUUCAGUUUUAAAAGUCUGAAUCAAAUCCCAGGACUUUGGGAGGCCGAGGCGGGUGGAUUGUUUGAGGUCAGGAGUUUGAGACCAGCCUGGACAAGAUGGUGAAACCCCGUCUCUACUAAAAAUACAAAAAAAUUAGCUGGGCGUGGUGGUGUGCACCUGUAGUCCCAGCUACUUGGGAGGCUGAGGCAGGAGAGUCGCUUGAACCCGGGAGGUGGAGGUUGCAGUGAGCCGAGAUGACACCACUGCACUCCAGCCUGAGAGACAGAGCGAGACUCGGUCUUAAAAAAAAAGUCUGAAUCGGUACUAAAUGAUGGACCCACAUUGAAAGAAAGCCUGCUAUUUGAAGAUGCUUGCUAGUGAAUGCCAGGUCUUUUUGAAAAGCGAACACUCCAUCAGUUGUUGUUGGGAUCAUUUCAGAUUUUUGCAUGUCAGUCGGUCUGGAGAGGAGAUGAUGCUCUGAAGGUGCUGCCUGGCUCUGAACUGUGGAAGCCAAGAGCUCUGGUGGGGUUGGAACUGAAGGUCCACCACAUUUGCCCCAAGAAGAACAUCCUUGCUGGCCUUGCUGAGGGAGCCUGGCAUGCAUCAUGCUUGGCAAUUGUCUUCCUGAGACUCCCCUGCUGGGACAGCGACAGGGCAUGGGGCCCUGAAUGCAUGACAACAACAACUGCAGGUCUCCUGACCCUUGUUUGUAGAGGUGGGUCAUCUCUAGUACCGACCUCCAUCCACCUGCGAAGCAGGGCUGGUCACUUUGUUACCAGCCACAGCCCUCCCCUGGAGGGAUCUGCAGUGUAAACGGAUCAUGUGAGUGCUGACCUUUGCAAAGGUCCAAAUGUGGUCAAUUCAGUUAUUCAUACCAGGCAAGGAAGCUGCCUUAUGAAUAAUUCAAAGUUGUUGCAAAUCCACAAACCUUUUUCACAUUGCCUGCUUGCAGUAGGCUCUCCAUAAAUGUUUACUGAAUCACUGAAUAAAUUAACAUAUGAAUGAAUAUUUUGCAAUAAGCUUUUGGUAUUUACAUUUGCACAUCCAUCUGUUGAUGCUCUGAGGAUCAGCAGCAGUCCUCACAAAAGGGCUCAGGCAUGCUCCCAAAACAGGCCAGAAAAGCCAAGUGGGCCAUGGUUCUCUCUUGCUCUGCAAGGGUGGCGGGGAAUAGAAAAAAAUGUUCCCAUGGCUGAUACAGCCUCUAGCUAGAAGCUGUGAGAUUCCUGACACACGCCAUGCCAGAUUUGUGUGGCUUAACACUUUUAUUCUGCUUUUAUAACCCUCUCCUCUAGCUUUGGUUAAAACUACUAUGUGGUCAGCAGAAUGGCCCCCCAAAGAUGUUUGGGCCCUCACCCCUGGAAACUGUGACUAUGUUACAUCAUGUGGGAAGAGGACUUUGCAGAUAUGAUUAAAGUUAUGGACCUUACAAUAGAGAAUUAUCUUGAAUUAUCUGGGCAGGCCCAACCAAAUCACAUGUGUCCUCAAAAGCGAAGAACUCUCUUCACGGGAGUCCGAGAGAUGGGGCUGAAGGAGAAGUGGGAGGGAUGGAAAGGUGAGAAUGCUCCAUGGGCUGUUAGGGGCUUGCAGAGGGUGGGGCAGUGAGUCCAGGAAUGCAGGUGGCCCCAAGGAGCUGA